GAGAUAGUUCAGUCUGGAGAGCAUGAGAUUCUUAAUCUCAGGGUCAUGGGUCCGAGCCCCACAUUGGGUAAA